rnacentral:rRNA from 1 species
UGGCUCAGGACGAACGCUGGCGGCGUGCCUAACACAUGCAAGUCGAACGGGGUGAUUCCUUCGGGGAUCACUUAGUGGCGAACGGGUGAGUAACGCGUGAGAAACCUGCCUUUCAGUGGGGGACAACAGUUGGAAACGACUGCUAAUACCGCAUAAUGUUAUUUGGGGGCAUCCUUGAAUAACCAAAGCUUUAUGUGCUGAAAGAUGGUCUCGCGUCUGAUUAGCUAGUUGGUGAGGUAACGGCUCACCAAGGCGACGAUCAGUAGCCGGUCUGAGAGGAUGAACGGCCACAUUGGGACUGAGAUACGGCCCAGACUCCUACGGGAGGCAGCAGUGGGGAAUAUUGGGCAAUGGGGGAAACCCUGACCCAGCAACGCCGCGUGAAGGAAGAAGGCCUUCGGGUUGUAAACUUCUUUUACCAGGGACGAAGAACGUGACGGUACCUGGAGAAAAAGCAACGGCUAACUACGUG